UAUCUUCAUACCGAGGGCUUAAAACAGCAUUGAACCUUAAAAAUAGCCAAAAUAACAAAACAUGUAUGACCUUUUUAUGAAGGCCACGAUGCUAUAAGAUAAAAAAUAAGGCAUUAUUUGGAAUCAAGGAUCAAACUUUAAGGUUGUGCAGAUGGACGGCUGGUCCCUAAAGUGGAUCAAAACCUAUCGCCACUAUUAUCCCGAGUAUCAAGGCACAUUUUGAAUAUAUUAUAAUACACGCCAGUCCACAGGUUAUGCUAGUGAACUGCUUGUGCACAAGUGUGAUAAAAAUAUAUCACCACCACUAUGAUGAGUAUCAAGGAUCCCUUUUAAUAUAUUAUAAGAUUGUACAAGUGAACCACUGGUCCAAAAGUUGGAUCAUUAGCCAUACCACCGCUUCCAAGGGCACCAUGGAAACCUUUCAAUAUCAUAUAAUACCCCCAACCCAUGAAUUGUGCAAGACCAUGGGUUGUUCAAGUGAACUUGUGCAUGGAAAUCCCAAUCAUUCACAAUAUCAGACAUCAUAUGAGAGAGCAAAUGGAGACAUUUAAGACCUUCUUUUGAAUUGUCAACGUGACAACAAGACAAGUAAGUUGGCUUAUGGGCAGUGGUUUGUUUAGUAUGCCAAGUUCCAAGUAUCGACCAUGGAAAAAUAGAUCCCUACUACGACUUGGCUGUUGUGAUCCAUGUAGCAGAGAACAUAUAUUAUAGAUUAGGGACAAAAAAUGAUGUAUUAAAACAGCUUAAUGUAAGAAAACAGUCUGAGCCUUGCCAUAAGUUGUUCCUCAGUGUUGAUGAAGUUCCAGAGAGAAGGAAGUUACAUCCCGACUGACCACAUAAAUUCUGUCAGAUAGAAAUGAACAAGGCUUUAGGUAGUGUAAUUGCACAGACUCCAAAUAAAUAAGUUCAUCUACAAAAAGGAUACAUUUGUAUAA
rnacentral:lncRNA from 1 species